rnacentral:rRNA from 1 species
UGGGGAAUAUUGCACAAUGGGCGCAAGCCUGAUGCAGCAACGCCGCGUGAGGGAAUGAGGCCCUACGGGUCGUAAACCUCUUUUGCCGGGGGAUAACGGGCGCCACGCGUGGCGCCGUGAAGGUACCCGGAGAAUAAGCAUCGGCUAACUCCGUGCCAGCAGCCGCGGUAAUACGGAGGAUGCGAGCGUUAUCCGGAUUUAUUGGGUUUAAAGGGUGCGCAGGCGGGCGUCUAAGUCAGCGGUGAAAGUUCCCGGCUCAACCGGGUCAGUGCCGAUGAUACUGGGGGUCUUGAAUGCGGUCGAGGCCGGCGGAAUGUGGCGUGUAGCGGUGAAAUGCAUAGAUAUGCCACAGAACACCGAUAGCGAAGGCAGCUGGCCGGGCCUGCAUUGACGCUGAGGCACGAAAGCGU